rnacentral:rRNA from 1 species
UACGUAGGGUGCAAGCGUUGUCCGGAAUUAUUGGGCGUAAAGAGCUCGUAGGCGGUUUGUCGCGUCGGCUGUGAAAACCUGGGGCUCAACCCCGGGCCUGCAGCCGAUACGGGCAAGCUAGAGUUCGGCAGGGGAGACUGGAAUUCCUGGUGUAGCGGUGAAAUGCGCAGAUAUCAGGAGGAACACCGGUGGCGAAGGCGGGUCUCUGGGCCGAUACUGACGCUGAGGAGCGAAAGCGUGGGGAGCAAACAGG